AGUGAACGCUGGCGGUAGGCCUAACACAUGCAAGUCGAACGGCAGCACAGUAAGAGCUUGCUCUUACGGGUGGCGAGUGGCGGACGGGUGAGGAAUACAUCGGAAUCUACUUUUUCGUGGAGGAUAACGUAGGGAAACUUACGCUAAUACCGCAUACGACCUACGGGUGAAAGCAGGGGAUCUUCGGACCUUGCGCGAUUGAAUGAGCCGAUGUCGGAUUAGCUAGUUGGCGGGGUAAAGGCCCACCAAGGCGACGAUCCGUAGCUGGUCUGAGAGGAUGAUCAGCCACACUGGAACUGAGACACGGUCCAGACUCCUACGGGAGGCAGCAGUGGGGAAUAUUGGACAAUGGGCGCAAGCCUGAUCCAACCAUACCGCGUGGGUGAAGAAGGCCUUCGGGUUGUAAAGCCCUUUUGUUGGGAAAGAAAAGCAGCAGGUUAAUACCCCGCUGUUCUGACGGUACCCAAAGAAUAAGCACCGGCUAACUUCGUG
rnacentral:rRNA from 1 species